UUUAACGUUAUUUUACUUAUUCCGUGAAUCGGAGGCGGGGCACGGCCCCUCUUUUUGGACCCAAGGUAGGCUUCAGCCGGCCGAUCCGGGCGGAAGACAUUGUCAGGUGGAGAGUUUGGCUGGGGCAGCACAUCUGUUAAAAGAUAACGCAGGUGUCCUAAGAUUAGCUCAACGAGAACAGAAAUCUCGUGUGGAACAAAA
rnacentral:ncRNA from 1 species